CCCGCUGAAUUUAAUUUAAAAUUUCCCCCCGGAAUUACCCGCUAAAAUUUAUCUAAAAUUUUCCCCUUCCGCGCUCGACCGUGCACAAGUCUCCUGGAAUGGAGCGUCAUAGAGGGUGAGAAUCCCGUCUUUGGCACGGAUGCACCAGGGCUUCUGCGAUGCGCUCUCGAAGAGUCGAGUUGUUUGGGAAUGCAGCUCAAAAUGGGUGGUGAACUCCAUCUAAAGCUAAAUAUUGGCGAGAGACCGAUAGCGAACAAGUACCGUGAGGGAAAGAUGAAAAGCACUUUGGAAAGAGAGUGAAACAGUACGUGAAAUUGUUGAAAGGGAAACGCUUGAAGUCAGUCGCGUCGACCGAGACUCAGCCUUGCCUCGGCUUGGUGUACUUCUCGGCUGACGGGUCAGCAUCAAUUUUGCCCCUCGGAUAAUGGCAAGGGAAAGGUGGCACCUUUACGGGUGUGUUAUAGUCUCCUGUCGCAUGCGAGGGUCGGGAUUGAGGAACUCAGCACGCGCUUCGGUGUCGGGGCCGCUUGGCUCACGCUACGUGCUUAGGAUGCUGGCGUAAUGGCUUUAAACGACCCGUCUUGAAACACGGACCAAGGAGUCUAACAUGCACGCGAGUGUUUGGGUGGAAAACCCAUGCGCGUAAUUAAAGUAAUAGUUGGGACCUCUGUCGUGGAGAGCACCGACGCCCGGACCAGACCUUCUGUGACGGAUCUGCGGUAGAGCGUGUAUGUUGGGACCCGAAAGAUGGUGAACUAUGCCUGAAUAGGGUGAAGCCAGAGGAAACUCUGGUGGAGGCUCGUAGCGAUUCUGACGUGCAAAUCGAUCGUC
rnacentral:rRNA from 1 species